GCAGUUAUCCUGUACUUGCUCCACCAUUGUGCAUUUGGUGUUUGUUAAGGCAGAUAAUUUUUCUUUUUUAGUUUAUAGCUCUUGAGAUUACAAGGAACUGUACGUAAGGGGCUGUAUUUGAGGAACUGUACCCAAGAAGUUCAUCCAUACCUGGACCUCAAGCCUCAGCCUGAUGUUCUCACUCAAGAACCCAGCCCCCAUAGUGUGAGGAGGCCUAGGACAGUUACAGAAGCCAUGUGUAGGUGUUCUGGCUCCAGCAAAAGUCUUAUCUGACAACAUCAACUACAUGUUAGUGGCCUUUCCUUGAAAUUGCUGGAGCUUGUGCAUCAUCAAAAUAAUGGCAUAAACCAAGGAAGAAGAAAACAAAAUUGAGGAAAUGGGAUCCAACACAAAAGAGAGACAACAGGAUUAAUUGAGUGUUGGUGAAAAGCCACAGCCUGUAAAUAAUGCAGUUCGAACUGAAAUAGACCAGGAGGCUCAAGGAGAGACUUCUUCAAGAAGAUAAAAUUGAUAGAAUGCCUAAGGAGUUUGAGUGCAUUGAGAAUAGAUUCAUAUCAGUUCUGGAGAACUGGGUGGAUACAUUAAUGUUAAGUACAUAGAAAAGUUAAAAAUGAAAAAAAUUCUCAAUUCUAGGGAAAAUAAUCAUAGUAAACUACAUGUUUUAGUUACCAAUAGUGUUUACGUAGUCAAUAUAAACAAUGGGCAUUGAUAUAAAUAAUGUAUGUUGAUCUGCUAUAACAAGGGUUUGUCUUGGUCCAUUUUAUGCUGCUAUAACAGAACACCACAGACUGAGAAAUUUAUAAGGAAUAGAAGUUUAUUUGCCUCAUGUUUCUGGAGGCUGGGAAUUCCAAGAUCAAGGGGCUGCAUAGAUUGAGGUCCUUUUUGCUGACUCAUAACGUGGAAAGAGAGUGCACUGCAUAGAAGAAAGGAGGCCAAACUCAUUCUUUUAUCAUGAGCCUACUCCUGAAAUAACUCACUCUCAAGAUAAUGGCAUUAAUCCAUUCAUGAAGGCAGAAUACUCAUGAUGUAAUCACCUCUUAAAAGACUAACCAGAAUUGGCUACAGUUUCUUCAAGAAAAUACCCCAAUGGAAGAAAAAAAGGUGGAGGGAGAAACUGAAUGAAGAAAGGAUGAUUUGAAAUUACCAGAAAGUGGAACGUGGAAAAAACAGAGUAAAACUAGUUUGAGAAUAAAAUCUUAGGUUGUAACAUCUUCUGGGAAUUUAUUCUUUAAAUAUUGCUUUUAACUGGAUUCUUUGGUAAAUAGUAAAUGCAUUUUGGUUUUGAUUUAAGC
rnacentral:lncRNA from 1 species